UCAACUGCGGGGGGAGGGGUCACUGCACAAGCAGCUGCUUCCUUAACCAUUCAACCUGCGUGCAUCUCGACCUCCCAUUUCCAGACACACCUAUCAAGCCUCCCCUGGUACAUCCAGAACCCCCCUAGCCCUCCAUACCUGAACCCUACUCCACGAACCUCAACCCCUGCAUCUGGAGCUGCCCUGCACCCAGAUCUCCUGCCUCUAGAGCACCGCCCCUGCA